GAUGAACGCUGGCGGCGUGCUUAACACAUGCAAGUCGAACGGAACUUAUUGGAUCAAGACUUCGGUCAAGUGAAUUUAAGUUUAGUGGCGGACGGGUGAGUAACGCGUGAGGAACCUACCUCGGAGUGGGGAAUAACAGUUGGAAACAGCUGCUAAUACAGCAUGAUGUGUACGGAUCGCAUGGUCUGUACACCAAAGAUUUAUCGCUCUGAGAUGGCCUCGCGUCUGAUUAGCUUGUUGGCGGGGUAACGGCCCACCAAGGCGACGAUCAGUAGCCGGACUGAGAGGUUGGCCGGCCACAUUGGGACUGAGACACGGCCCAGACUCCUACGGGAGGCAGCAGUGGGGAAUAUUGGGCAAUGGGCGCAAGCCUGACCCAGCAACGCCGCGUGAAGGAAGAAGGCUUUCGGGUUGUAAACUUCUUUUGUCAGGGACGAACAAAUGACGGUACCUGACGAAUAAGCCACGGCUAACUACGUGCCAGCAGCCGCCGUAAUAC
rnacentral:rRNA from 1 species